AAAGUGGUAAAAGUAUAUCAAGAAUGGAUCCAACAAGAGGAAAAACCUUUGUUCAUGCAAGAGCCUGAAGAAAUUGUGAUCACUUCUUCAGACCUCCCUUGCAUUGAAAAUGUCACAGACCAUGAUAUUUCAAUGGAAGAAGGAGAAAAAAGAGAAGAGGAAAAUGGGACCAAUACUGCUGAUCAUGUUCGAAAUUCCAGUUGGGCAAAAAACGGCUCCUACCAAGGUGCUCUUCAUAACGCCUCUGAAGAAGCCACAGAACAAAACAUACGAGCUGGUACCCAGGCAGUUUUGCAGGUGUUCAUUAUAAACUCAUCAAAUAUAUUUCUUCUUGAACCUGCAAAUGAAAUAAAAAAUCUUCUGGAUGAACACACAGAUAUGUGUAAACGCAUUCUUAACAUUUAUCGGUACAUGGUUGUACAAGUAUCAAUGGACAAAAAGACUUGGUAAAAAAAUUUUUAUCCUUU
rnacentral:sRNA from 1 species